rnacentral:rRNA from 1 species
AGAGUUUAGUCAUGGCUCAGGAUGAACGCUGGCGGCGUGCCUAACACAUGCAAGUCGAACGGGAAGCUACCUUCGGGUAGUGGAGAGUGGCGAACGGGUGAGUAACACGUAGCUAACCUGCCUUCAAGACGAGGAUAACUAUUGGAAACAGUAGCUAAUACUCGAUAAGCUCACGGUUUGUAGAUGAUUGUGAGAAAAGCUCAGGCGCUUGAAGAUGGGGCUGCGAGCCAUCAGCUAGUUGGUGAGGUAAAAGCUCACCAAGGCGACGACGGCUAGGGGACCUGAGAGGGUGACCCCCCACACUGGAACUGAGACACGGUCCAGACUUCUACGGAAGGCAGCAGUGAGGAAUAUUGCACAAUGGGCGCAAGCCUGAUGCAGCGACGCCGCGUGGGUGAAGACGGUUUUCGGACUGUAAAGCCCUUUUCUAGGUGACGAGAGUGGACGGUAGCCUAGGAAUAAGUCUCGGCUAACUACGUGCCAGCAGCCGCGGUAAAACGUAGGAGGCGAGCGUUAUCCGGAGUUACUGGGCGUAAAGCGCGUGCAGGCGGAUCAGUAAGUUACUCAUGAAAGCUCCUGGCUAAACCGGGAGAGGUUGAGUAAAACUGCUAGUCUAGAGUGGAUGAGAGGUAGGUAGAAUUCCUUGUGUAGUGGUGAAAUGCGUAGAUAUAAGGAAGAAUACCGGUGGCGAAGGCGACCUACUGGCAUCCAACUGACGCUCAGACGCGAAAGCAUGGGUAGCGAACGGGAUUAGAAACCCCGGUAGUCCAUGCCGUAAACGAUGCACACUAAACGUUUGCAUUCCUACGGGGAUGUGAGUGUUGAAGCUAACGCGAUAAGUGUGCCGCCUGGGGAGUACGGUCGCAAGGCUAAAACUCAAAGGAAUUGACGGGGGCCCGGCACAAGCAGCGGAGCGUGUGGGUUUAAAUUCGAGGAUACGCGAAGAACCUUACCUGGGUUUUGACAUAAUAGUGGUAAGAGAAGGGAAACCGGAUCGACUCUUCGGAGAGCUUAUUACAGGUGCUGCAUGGUUGUCGUCAAGCUCGUGCCGUGAGGUGUUCGGUUAAGUCCGCAAACGAGCGCAACCCCUAUCGUUAGUUACAAGUGUCUAGCGAGACUGCCCGAGGCAAUCGGGAGGAAGGUGGGGAUGAUGUCAAAUCAGCAUGGCCUUUAUAUCCAGGGCUACACACACGCUACAAUGGCACAUACAAUGGGUAGCGAAGCCGCGAGGUGGAGCCAAUCUCGAAAGUGUGUCUCAGUUCGGAUUACAGGCUGCAACUCGCCUGUAUGAAGUCGGAGUUGCUAGUAACCGUGUAUCAGCACGGCACGGUGAAUACGUUCCCGGGCCUUGUACACACCGCCCGUCACGUCAUGGGAGUUGAUUACGCCUGAAGUCGGGAAGCUAACCUAACGGGGGCUACCGCCGAAGGCAGGAUUGAUGACUGGGACGAAGUCGUAACAAGGUAGCUGUAGCGGAAGCUGCGGCUGGAUCACCUCCUU